CUGGGUGGGUGCCCACCAUGCACAGGGAUAGGCUAUGUGACUGCCAGGUCUGCAGUGGCAUCUGACAUCCAGGCCAGCCUCCUUGGUUUGCCGUGAACUGGUUGGUGGCCCUGGCCUGUGCCUAGUAGUCCUGGUGUGACCCUGGGGUUGUGUGGGGGAGCCGGUAGGGUCCCAGUGACCCACCUGCCCUGUCCUUCCAGGGUUCUGUGGCUAAGAGCACUGGGUGUCCUGUGUCCGUGAUGGGCCAGUGUUCCUCAUGCAUCCCAUCACAGGGAUCCAUGGAGGGCGAGUAUGCUUGAACUGCCACACCCCACUUUCUGCUCACAUGGAGGAGUGAGGUUGUGUUUGGACAACUGUCCUACUCUUGUUCUCCCAGAUCGUGACCCCAGAGGAAGAAUUGUUUUGGGCCCAAUGGCCCUGGGCCAGUGUCCAUCAGCCCGGUGUCCAGUCCCUGGUGUACUGAAGCUCAGGCCCUUCCUGGUACCCUAGUCUCCUGCACUGAGCUUGGCGAGCCCAUUCGGGUACUGCUGGAUGCAGCGUGAGCUCUUCUGCUCAGAUGGUUCCCCUGGCAUUGACCAGCAUAGAUAGUGAACCUAGAGGAAGACUCUUCCUGGGUCCCCUGGCCCCAAGCCAGUGUCCAUCAGCCAGAUGCCAGACCCCAGUGUGCUGAAACUCAUGCCCUUCCUGGUGCCCUGGUCUCCUGCACUGAGCUAUGUGAACUCUUUCACCCAGCAGACUCCCUGGCAUUGACCAGCAUAGAUGGUGGCCCUGGAGGAGGACUUGUAUUGGGACCACUGGCCCCACGUCAGUGUCUUUCAGCCAGGUGUACAGCCCUUGGUGUGUUGAAGCUCAGGCCCUUCCUGCUGCUCCGGUCUCCUGCACUGAGCUUGUGAGCUCUUCUGCCCAGGUGGUCCCCCUGGCCUUGAGGGGCAUAGAUGGUGAGCCCAGAGGAAGACCCCCUGGCUCUGAGCCAGCCUCCGUCAGCCAGAUCCCCAGCUCCUGGUGUGCUAAAGCUCAGGACCUUCCUGGUGCCCUGGUCUCCUGCACUGAGCUGUGUGAGCUCUUCUGCCCAGGCGGGCCCCCUGGCAUUGACUGGCAUAGAUAGUGAGCUCAGAGGAAGACUUGCAUUGGGCCCAAUGGACCCAGGCCAGUGUCUGUCAGCCAGGUGCCCAGCUCCUGAUGUGCUGAAGCUCAGGCCCUUCCUGGAGCCCUAGUCUCCUGCCCUGAGCUGUGUGACAUCUUCUGCCCAGGUGGCCCCCUGGCGUUGACCAGCAUAGGCGAGUGGAACCUGCUGGUGUCAUAGGCCAUGAGCCAGGCUGCAUGGGGACGCCAGAUGGUAAGCCCGGAGGAAGACUUGCAUUCGGCCUGCUGUGCCUGGGCCAGAGGCUAUCAGCUAGGUGCCCAGGUCCUGUUGCACUGAAGCUUGGGCCCUUCCUGGUGCCCUGGUCUCCUUCAUGGAGCUGUGAACUCUUCAGCUCAGAAGGGGCCCUUGGCCUUGACUAGCAUAGAUGGUGAGCCUGAAGGAAGACGUACGUCAGGACCAAUGGACCCUGACAAGCGUCCAUCAGCCAGGUGCUCAGCCCCCGGUUCGCUGAAGCUCAGGCCCUUCCUGGUGCCCUGGUCUCCUGCACUGACCUGUGUGAAUUCUUCUGCCAAGGGGUGGCCUCCUGGCAUUGAUCAACAUAGAUGGUGAGCCUGGAGGAAGACUUGCAUUGGCCCCAAUGGCCCUGGACCAGUGUCUGUCAACUAGUUCCCAGUUCCAGGUGCACUGAAGCUCAGGCCUCUCCUGGUGCCCUGGUCUCCUGCACUGAGCUGUGUAAGCUCCUCUGUCCAAGUGGUCCCCCCCAGCCUUGAGCAGCAUAGAUGGUGACCCUGGAGAAAGACUUGCGUUGGGCCUGAAGGCCCCGGGGCCAGUGUCCAUCAGCCACGUGCUCAGCUCCCAGUGCACCGAAACUCCGACCCUUCCUGGUUCCCUGGUCUCUUGCGCUGGGCUGUGGUGAGCACAACCGGGUCCCGCUGGAUGCAUGUGUGGGGAGGGGGGUGCCCUGAGUUGGGUUGGUGAUGAGAACCUUAUAUUCUUCUGAAGAGAGGUGAUGACUUAAAAAUCAUGCUCAAUAGGAUUACGCUGAGGCCCAGCCUAGGUGAGAAUUUUGGAAGAGGACACUGGGAUCCUGAAGCCCCCUGCAGGGCUCCUGUGUUUUGGGCUGGGGACCUGGAGGCCCUGAAGGGCAUCUGGUGGACCCAACUGUAUCUCUGUGCUCCUCUAUGAGGCAGCCCAGCCUCCCUGUCCUGGCUUGGUAUCCAGGCUCCGGGUCUCCAGGGACGGGACACGUUGGAGCCUCCUUCCUGAGCCCUCAUUCUCCCUUUGUGUCUUUCAGUGAGCUUUUCCACCCAGGUGGGCCCCCUGGCAUUGACCGACAUAGGUGAGUGCAUCCUGCUGGGGUCAUGGGCUAUUAGAUAGUCAGUGUGGGGUCAUUGAGGUUCAGCUUUUGGGCCACAAGGGUUUUCUCAGGCAACCAACCUGAACUCCCACCUGGGAGAGAUGGGUUCUCUAGGAGGGCAGCUUUUUUAGGAAUCAGACCCAAGGAGGAUGCCUUCCCUGAAGCCCUACAGGGGUGAUGGUGGUCCAGGCAGGGAAGGGUUCCUUCUGCCCAACUCAGGGCCCAAUGCAGGGCAGCGCCCCCUUGAGAACUGGUGCUCUGGUAAGGCCUCAAGGACUGCCCAGGCCACAUGAAGGAGGUCAGAGAGGCUACAGGGAACCAUGGGGGUAACAGGGGAGCUCUUGGCCCCCAGAGUGUGUGAAUGGGCCCAUUGAGUUGGGUUGCAGAGAUUCAAGGAUCGCACCUGACCCAUGGCCCUGAAUGACCAUCCCUGUUGAGCAGUGGGUCAUCCCAGUGGGUCCCCUGGAGCCUGGUGGGGGUCGGCGUUGUUUUCCUGGGGUUGGGUCAAGGUGGAGCUCUGGCUGGUACCUGGUGGUGCUGCAGGUCAGCCCUGGGACUUGUGGGCUUUGGGCCAAGAGGCAGCCCACAUCCCGCUGGGGGUCAUGAAGGAUGGCCUCCUGAGGUGGGAAGGCCCACUGUUGAGGCACCUAGACUGGGAAUUAUUCCUCAGGCUGCUUAGGAGCCGUGGUGUCACCUCCAGGGUGGUGGGAUCUUGGGACUAAGCAAAGGAGGGGGCACCAUAUGGCUCCCAAUUGGCCAUGUGUGGCUGGCUCUGUGUCUGGGAGGUGUGUGGACUAUGGAUGGGGACCCACCAGAGAAAGCAAGUGGCCCUGCAAUCCCAGGAGGUGAUUUCUGGUGUAGGCUUGGAGAGGGUGCCUAUAUGCGCGCCCACCAUACGCAGGAGCAGGCUAUGCCACUGCAGAGUCUGCAGUGACGCCUGGCAUAUGGGCCAGCCUCCUUGGUUAGCUGUGACUUGGCUGGUGGCCCGUGCUUGUGCCCAGUGGUGAGGGCAGCUCUGAAUUAAUGCAGGAGAGCCAUUUUGGGCAGUGGAGGUGCCCUUGGGUCCUACAGUAUGGCACAGCCUGGGUGUUUUGCUCAAGCCCAGUGACCUGCCUGCCUUAUCCUUCCCGGGUUCGGUGGCAGGGAGAGCCAAGAGUGCCCUGCAUUGGUGACGAGUCAGUAUUUUGCAUGAAUCUCAUCACAUGUGUCCAUGGAGGACAAGCAAGCAUGAGCUGGCACCAGCCACCCCCUUCUCUGCAUGGAGGGUGGUUAUGUGUUUCCCUAGAUGAUGAGACUGGAGGAAGACUUCCAUUGGGCCCACUUUUCCUGGGCUAGUGUCCAUCAGCCAGGUGCUUAGCCCCAGUGCCUUGAAACUCCAGCCCUUCCUGGCACCCGGUCUCCUGCACUGAGCUGUGUGAGCUCUUCCACCCAGGAGGGCCCCUUGGCAUUGACUGGCAUAGAUGGUGAGCCUGGAGGAAGAGUUGUGUUGAGUCCCCGCAGGCCCCAGGCCAAUGUCUGUCAACCUGGUGCUCAUCCCCUGGUGUGCUGAAACUCGGACCCUCCCUGACACCCUGGUCUCCUGCACUGAGCUGUGGAUUACGCUGAGGCCCAGCCUAGUGAGCUCUUCCACCCAGCGGGCCCCUCGGCAUUGACUGGCAUAGUGUUGCGAGAGAUGCAUCAUCCCAUUAAUGAAAGCAGAGUGACUGCCUUCAUCACACCUACAUUCAAGAUAGACCACUGGGCUAGUGAUGAGUCACUCUUAAGGCUAUUAUGUUUACUCAUUUAAAAAAUCUGAAUCUCAGUAUGGAUUUUCUUAGAGAGUGACUGACCUAUCUGAUAUGAUGCUAUGACAGACUCUUUACUUUUUACCUGAAUUUGAUGGGAUUGAAAGUUGAGAACAUUUUAUUUUCUGUUUCACUUGAUUAAUUAUGCCCAAUCUAACAUGCAAUGUUCACUUGGGUACAUAUAUACAACUACACCAACUUUUUUCUUAUUUUACCUUAAAAAUUUUAAGGUAUUAUAAUGGUAUGGCCAGUUUACUCACUGGUAAACUUUUCGUAACAGAAGGAUCAUGCCAGUGGAUACAAAUAUGUAACAUCAGUAAUUUGCUUUGCCUGUGAAACAGAGAACUGAAUAAAUUGAUGGGCAAACUAGUAUCUGAAUAUAAACCCCAAAUAUCAUGUGACUUCAUCAUUUUCAGUAUAAUGAAAAUACAGGCUGUGAAUGCUUCCAGUUGGUCCUGAGAGGGCCUCUGAGAUGAGUAGGUUCACCAAAGCGGCAACAUGUGUCCCAGUUCCCAGUGUACAUUCUACUCCUCAUUGAUGAUAUGGAAGAAGAGCACUCUUUGGCCUGUUGCGACUGGGACAGUUGACAGCACCCAGGUGUCCUGUAAUGAAAAUGCUCUUGACACCAAUGCAUCCUAGCAUCAGAGCUUCGGGAAGCCUUCUCAAGUGUGCAUGGGGAGUACCAUGUCUUUCAUCAAUAACGAAACCUUCUAAUGUCUUGUAAGACAUGCUGCCAAGAGAUGUGCCAUUCUAUUAUAAAAGAUCAGCAGCUUCCUUUACUGACAUGUAUAUUCUACACAGAACAUUGAGCUACGGAAGACUCCCGCCUAAGGGAAUUAGUUUUACACUUCCAGUGUUUCACUGUUUUGAGUUACUGAUGAACUUGCUGUAACUGUGAGACCAUGGUAAUGGAGGAGACCACGGUAAUGAAGGAGACCACGGUAAUGAAGGAGACCAUGGUAAUGGAGGAGACCACGGUAAUGGAGGAGACCACGGUAAUGGAGGAGACCAUGGUAAUGGAGAGGAGAAUGUGAGAAUCAAUAAAGACUGCUCAGAAGAGCAUCCUCUGGUGUUGCCAGAGAGGCAAGUGCUACCACACAGGCAUGCUGCAGUGAAUUUAACUCAUCCUGUGUCCCUGCAAUUGUUGUUUAAGGAUGCUAUUCUGAAAAGACUGUGGAGGAAGAAAACCCUUUACUCUGUUGUUCAGGGAGAAACUGACACCACUCAACUGCCUGGCACUGAAAAUGUGGCAUCCAGCCCACUUUACCGCCAGUGUUUAAGGAAACCAUCUCUGAUAAGGAUGAUUGAGGAAGACUACUCUUUGGCUUGUUGACACCAGCACAGCUGACACACCCAGAUAUCUGUUUGGUCUCCUGUGAACUUUCAACCAGGAUUUAAGGAUGCCAUUCUGGUUAAAAGCUCAAACAACUUCAAGGAAACUUCAGGGAAAAGAGAAGGCCUGGAGUCUGAUCCUCCACUUCAGAGAACAGGGGUGGUGGAGUCUAUGGCCCUUCUCUUUGAAUCUGAGUGAAAUUAGUGACUCUCUCAAUCCAAAGACUACAGUCGUACCUCAACUAUCUACAGAGGACUGGUUCCAGGACUCCCAUGGAUCCCAAAAUCCAAGAAUGCUUCGAAUCCCUUAUAUAAAAUGGCAUAGUAUUUGCAUAUAACCUACAUGCAUCUUCAAAUAUGUCAAACCAUCUCUAGAUUACUUAUAAUACCAAAUACAAUGUUAAUGCCAUGUAAACAGUUGUUACAAUGUAUUGCCAAAGACAAGCUCUCCUUGCCAAUCCCUGACCAAAUGAGAGAUUCAUGAGCAAAAUAAAUAGUUGCUGAUAUUUAAGGCACUAAGUUUGGGGCAAUGUAUUACACAGCAAUAAAUAACUGGA